rnacentral:rRNA from 1 species
GGAUCCAGACUUUGAUUCAUGGCUCAGGAUGAACGCUGGCGGCGUGCCUAAUACAUGGCAAGUCGAACGCUUUGUUCUUUAAUUGAUUCUGAAGAGCUUGCUUCUGAUUUGAAUUUUUAUUCUUGACAAAGAGUGGCGGAACGGGUGGAGUAACACGUGGGUAACCUACCUUCUUAGCAGGGGAUAACAUUUGGAAACAAGUGCUUAAUACCGUAUAAUACCAACAACCGCAUGGUUGUUGGUUGAAAGAUGGUUCUGCUAUCACUAAGAAGAUGGACCCGCGGUGCAUUAGCUAGUUGGUAAGGUAACGGCUUACCAAGGCAAUGAUGCAUAGCCGAGUUGAGAGACUGAUCGGCCACAAUGGGACUGAGACACGGCCCAUACUCCUACGGGAGGCAGCAGUAGGGAAUCUUCCACAAUGGGCGCAAGCCUGAUGGAGCAACGCCGCGUGUGUGAUGAAGGGUUUCGGCUCGUAAAACACUGUUAUAAGAGAAGAACGGCACUGAGGGUAACUGUUCAGUGUGUGACGGUAUCUUACCAGAAAGGAACGGCUAAAUACGUGCCAGCAGCCGCGGUAAUACGUAUGUUCCAAGCGUUAUCCGGAUUUAUUGGGCGUAAAGCGAGCGCAGACGGUUAUUUAAGUCUGAAGUGAAAGCCCUCAGCUCAACUGAGGAAUGGCUCUGGAAACUGGAUGACUUGAGUGCAGUAGAGGAAAGUGGAACUCCAUGUUGUAGCGGGUGAAAUGCGUAGAUAUAUGGAAGAACACCAGUGGGCGAAGGCGGCUUUCUGGACUUGUAACUGACGUUGAGGCUCGAAAGUGGUGGGUAGCAAACAGGAUUAGAUACCCUGGUAGUCCACACCGUAAACGAUGAGUGCUAGAUGUUCGAGGGUUUCCGCCCUUGAGUGUCGCAGCUAACGCAUUAAGCACUCCGCCUGGGGGAGUACGACCGGCAAGGUUGCAACUCAAAGGAAUUGA